rnacentral:rRNA from 1 species
AGACGGGGGGGGCAAGCGUUGUUCGGAAUUACUGGGCGUAAAGGGCGCGUAGGCGGCCUGGGAAGUCUUGGGUGAAAGCCCUCAGCUCAACUGGGGAAUGGCCUGAGAAACCACGGGGCUGGAGUGCUGGAGAGGGAAGCGGAAUUCCCGGUGGAGCGGUGAAAUGCGUAGAUAUCGGGAGGAACACCAGAGGCGAAGGCGGCUUCCUGGACAGACACUGACGCUGAGGCGCGAAAGCUAGGGGAGCAAACAGGAUUAGAAACCCCGGUAGUCC